GACGAACGCUGGCGGCGUGCUUAACACAUGCAAGUCGAACGGAAAGGCCCCUUCGGGGGUACUCGAGUGGCGAACGGGUGAGUAACACGUGAGUAACCUGCCCUUGACUUCGGGAUAACUUCAGGAAACUGGGGCUAAUACCGGAUAGGAAUCCUUGCUGCAUGGUGGGGGUUGGAAAGCUUCGGCGGUUUUGGAUGGACUCGCGGCUUAUCAGCUUGUUGGUGGGGUAGUGGCUUACCAAGGCUUUGACGGGUAGCCGGCCUGAGAGGGCGACCGGCCACAUUGGGACUGAGAUACGGCCCAGACUCUUACGGGAGGCAGCAGUGGGGAAUAUUGCACAAUGGGCGGAAGCCUGAUGCAGCAACGCCGCGUGCGGGAUGACGGCCUUCGGGUUGUAAACCGCUUUCAGCAGGGGCGAAGCUUGUGGUGACGGUACCUGCAGAAGAAGCACCGGCUAACUACGUG
rnacentral:rRNA from 1 species